CCCUUAGAUGUUCUGGGCCGCACGCGCGCUACACUGACGAAGUCAGCGAGCAUGUCCUACGCCGACAGGUGCGGGGAAUCUUGUCAAACUUCGUCGUGAUGGGGAUUGAUUUUUGAAAUUCUUGAUCAUAAACGAGGAAUUCCUAGUAAGCGCAAGUCAGCAGCUUGCGUUGAUUACGUCCCUGCCCUUUGUACACACCGCCCGUCGCUACUACCGAUUGAAUGGUUUAGUGAGAUCUUCGGAUUGGCGCCACUGCAGCUCAGCAAUGGGCUUGGUGGAUGCCGAAAAGUUGAUCAAACUUAAUCAUUUAGAGGAAGUAAAAGUCGUAACA
rnacentral:rRNA from 1 species